UGUUCCUGCCCAGAUGAAGGAGCUACAGGACUGUGGACAGAGCAGUUGCUGGCAGGAAGGAGAGAAAGAGCUCCUGGCUGGCUGCUGGGACUGAGAAAAGCAGUUCCUGGCAGGGACCAGGGGCGCAAGAAGGUGCUUCUGGUUGACUGCUGGGACUGAAGCAAGAAGAACCCUCAGUUGCCAGCAGGGACUCAGGGAGCAGAGAAGGAGCUUCUAGCUAGCUGCUGGGACUGAAACAAGCUGUUGUUCAGAGACUUUCACCCUGUGAUAAAGGUUGUGUGUGACUUGGCCAGAGGGCUGAGUUGCUGAAGACCUGCUGCAAUCACAGAGAGAGAGUGUAUGCACAUGCACUCGACCAACGGGCGCUCGUGCAGGGGGAAGACAGUGCUGAUUGGAGCCCAGGAUGGUUGGAAGCUGAACUCAGGAGAAGGGCUACAGACUGUUGUGGGACAAGACAAACCCUGAGAGGAAUGGUUAUAUCUGCUAAGAGUCUGGGGUGG